GAGGAUGUAGGAGUCCGUGAGGAUGGAGAGGGUGUAGGAGACGAUGAGACUGGAGAGGGUGUAGGAGACAGUUAGACUGGAGAGGGUGUAGUAGACAGUGGGCUGGAGAGGGUGUAGGAGACAGUCAGGAUGGACAGGGUGUAGUAGACAGUGAGACUGGAGAGGGUGUAGGAGACAGUGAGGUUGGAGAGGGUGUAGGAGUCCGUGAGGAUGGAGAGGGUGUAGGAGACGGUGAGGAUGGAGAGGGUGUAGGAGACAGUGAGACUGGAGUGGGUGUAGGAGACAGUGAGGUUGGAGAGGAUGUAGGAGUCCGUGAGGAUGGAGAGGGUGUAGGAGACGGUGAGGCUGGAGAGGGUGUAGGAGACAGUGAGACUGGAGAGGGUGUAGGAGACAGUGAGACUGGAGAGGGUGUAGGAGACAGUGAGACUGGAGAGGGUGUAGGAGACAGUGAGGCUGGAGAGGGUGUCGGAGACAGUGAGUCUGGAGAGGGUGUAGAGACAGUGAGACUGGAGAGGGUGUAGGAGACAGUGAGGCUGGAGAGGGUUUAGGAGACAGUGAGACUGGAGAGGGUGUAGGAGACAGUGAGGAUGGAGAG
ensembl:lncRNA